rnacentral:rRNA from 1 species
AUUGGACGCUGGCGGCAGGCUUAACACAUGCAAGUCGAGCGGGGGAAGGUAGCUUGCUACCGGACCUAGCGGCGGACGGGUGAGUAAUGCUUAGGAAUCUGCCUAUUAGUGGGGGACAACAUCUCGAAAGGGAUGCUAAUACCGCAUACGUCCUACGGGAGAAAGCAGGGGAUCUUCGGACCUUGCGCUAAUAGAUGAGCCUAAGUCGGAUUAGCUAGUUGGUGGGGUAAAGGCCUACCAAGGCGACGAUCUGUAGAGGGUCUGGGAGGAUGGUCCGCAACACUGGGACUGAGACACGGCCCAGACUCCUACGGGAGGCAGCAGUGGGGAAUAUUGGACAAUGGGGGGAACCCUGAUCCAGCCAUGCCGCGUGUGUGAAGAAGGCCUUAUGGUUGUAAAGCACUUUAAGCGAGGAGGAGGCUACUUUAGUUAAUACCUAGAGAUAGUGGACGUUACUCGCAGAAUAAGCACCGGCUAACUCUGUGCCAGCCGCCGCGGUAA